rnacentral:rRNA from 1 species
GACGAACGCUGGCGGCGUACUUAACACAUGCAAGUCGAACGGAAGGGCCCUGCUUGCAGGGUACUCGAGUGGCGAACGGGUGAGUAACACGUGGGUGAUCUGCCCUGCACUUCGGGAUAAGCCUGGGAAACUGGGUCUAAUACCGGAUAGGAGCCAUUUUUAGUGUGAUGGUUGGAAAGUUUUUUCGGUGUAGGAUGAGCUCGCGGCCUAUCAACUUGUUGGUGGGGUAAUGGCCUACCAAGGCGGCGACGGGUAGCCGGCCUGAGAGGGUGGACGGCCACAUUGGGACUGAGAUACGGCCCAGACUCCUACGGGAGGCAGCAGUGGGGAAUAUUGCACAAUGGGCGCAAGCCUGAUGCAGCGACGCCGCGUGGGGGAUGACGGCCUUCGGGUUGUAAACUCCUUUCGCUAGGGACGAAGCUUUUUGUGACGGUACCUAGAUAAGAAGCACCGGCUAACUACGUG